rnacentral:lncRNA from 10 species
AAAUUGAGUUAGACAAGUUAAGUAACUGCUCAGAGCUUUAUAUACACUAAAUAUCAGAAUUAGGCUUUAUCUCAGAACUCUUUGACUCCAAGAUACAGGAAAUUAAGAACUAUUAUACUUUCUCUAUUUCUAAAUGUAAUACAAUUCACACAUUUUAAAUAUCUUAAGUGUCAAUAUCUGCCGUACAUUAAAACAAGCUACAUCAGAGAAAGUUUAUUGUCUUUUUAAGUAUUAUUUGGAAAAAAAUCUUAACUAUGUACAUAUAUAUUUAAAACUACCUAGAAUAUAUUUUCAACAAUAGAAAAUCAAAUGAAGUAAUAAAUGCUGUGGUCCGAAUAUCUGUGUCCUCUUCAGAUUUUUAUGUUGCAAUCUUAACCUUAAGUUAAUGGCAUUAAGAGGUAAGUCCUGUGGGAGGUGAUACACUGAUGGGGACAUCCCAUUAAGUAACCAGUGGGCUAAGGCAGCUCAUUUGCCAUUUCUACAGUGUGAGAAUGCAGCAACAAGGUGCCAGCUAUGAAGCAAAGAGCCCUUACCAGACAAUGAAUCUACUGACAACUUGAUCUUGGACUCUUCAGCUUCCCAAACUGGUUACCAACUAUAUCACAUAAUGGUCCUAAGGAUUAAAUGAAAAAAAAUGCAGUAAGGUAAAGCUGAUUUAUCAAGGUUGGGGAAAUGCAAUAAAGAAAGAGGUUAAUAAUUCACAGAGCCAGCUGAAUAGAAUACCAGAGUUUUAUUUCUACACAAAUCAGUCUCCCAGGCAUGGUCCAGGCUUGAGGGUGGAGCCCUCACGAGAGACCUCACCAUUUUCUACCUAGUAUUUCCCUGUCUCCUGUCUAUAUCGCAGGGCAUUAAAUUGAAGCCAAGGGACUGAAAUAAGAAACUCCAGAGAACAACAAGAGGAACUGAAAUUGCAUGGUCAUUAGAAGGCAUCUUAAGAAUAACUGUGUAGCAGAGAAUGAGGACUCAUAUCAAAGUUUGAUUCUUUUAGUAUUGGAUUUUAUGUAAGUAAAAUUUUUAGUAUAGUCAAACAAAUAUUAUCGUCAAUAUAUUAAUGUUCAUAUUUACAUUUUCAUCAUGAUGCAGAAGAUGAAAACACUAAACAGACUAUUUGCUAAUGCUGAAAAUCUUUAGUAUUUAGGUAAGAGUUAUAUUAUACAUAAAAUAAAAAUAAUAUAAACUAAGCAUAACUGAAACGUGCUUUUUAAGACCUUGGUUUUGUUUAAAUCUAAAAAUCAAAUACAAAUGUAAUAUAAAGUUCAGUGUGUAACUAUGACAAAAAAUAUUUUGAGUUUAGGAAAUAAGCUGUAGUAUCUGGAAUUUCAAGAGGUAUAUAUAAUACAUUAUGAGAAGGAGUACUUUAAAGGUCAAAAGAAGGGAAAAUAAUAAUUUAAAGCUCAAUAAAUGAAUUCAAAUCCAU